UAGUCCACGCCCUAAACGAUGAGUGCUAAACGUUGGAUUUUUAAUUCAGUGUUGCAGCUAACGCGUUAAGCACUCCGCCUGGGGAGUACGGUCGCAAGACUAAAACUUAAAGGAAUUGACGGGGACCCGCACAAGCGGUGGAUCAUGUGGUUUAAUUCGAAACUACGCGAAGAACCUUACCAGCCCUUGACAUAAAAAGUAUGAUUUUGGAGAUAAAAUCUUCACCUUGGGUGGCUUUUUACAGGUGCUGCAUGGCUGUCGUCAGCUCGUGUCUUGAGAUGUUGGGUUAAGUCCCGCAACGAGCGCAACCCUUGUUUCUAUUUGCCAUCAGGUUAUGCUGGGAACUAUAGAAAGACUGCCGAUAAUAAACCGGAGGAAGGUGAGGACGACGUCAAGUCAUCAUGGCCUUUAUGAUCAGGGCUGCACACGUCCUACAAUGGAUCGUACAAAGGGAAGCGAACUCGCGAGAGCAAGCAAAAUCCCAGAAAGCGGUCCUCAGUUCGGAUUGCAGGCUGC
rnacentral:rRNA from 1 species